AUCAAAAGUUCCUUUCCUCUGUCAUGGAGAAGGUAAAAGCCACAGAAAUGACAAAAGCCCUCAUCAGUGGCCCAGGUUCUAUCCCAAAGGUCACUCAACCUACCACUCUAUGUACCACUAGUACCUCCACUAGGUCCCCUGUACCCCUAAAUCUCUGUGUGAAGCCACCAUCACCACCACCACCAUCAACCAGCCAGUGCAGUAUAACUACCACCAGGCCCCCAGUUCCACUUACCCCCAGUGUUAGUGUCCCAGUGUCUGCCACUCUCCAAGCAAGUGAAGCCACUCAAAGGUCAUCUACCUCCAUCCAGUCAGACAGCCAGGAAUCACAUCAAGGUACUGCAUCGAAGAUUGUAAGGAAGAUAAAUGUCAAUGCUGUAAAUAAUAUUUAGAUUUUUCUGGUGUUUAUUUUUUUUAUUCUGUCUCUUCCCUCAGAAAUGACACACAAAAUUACACUAUUGCUACUCGACCUAACAAAAACCUAUCAACAUCUGUACUUCAGGAACAAACCGGCAUUCUAUCAGAAGCUUCGAACAGCAUUUACACAGAAGGGGUACAACCUGUCAACAGAAAAAAUUCGCAAAAAACUUUCAAACAUGCUAACAACAUACAAAAGGGUGAAGGACAGACGACGUGCCACUGGUGAGGGGAAGAAUGCCUGGGAGUACUAUACACUAAUGGAUGAGUUAUUUGGCUCAUCAGGGAUUGGCACUGCACCACCAGGGACAAUUUACUCCACGCCGUUAUUUUCGGAAGCAACAUCCUCAAACAAAUCUACUACACUUCAGGAC